AAGGCCGACAACAAAGGAAGAAGAUUGAAGCUCUCUAUUUUUCCUUCUUAUGAAUGAUAUGUUCUCAUUUGCUUUAACAACUCAAGAGAUUUGAUGAGGAGUAAAGAUGGAAAAAUUGAGCUAAAAAAGAAAAUUGAAGGCAUUUAAGAAGGAAAGAAUAAAUCCUGACAGAUUUGCUGAUCCGACUAAGCGUGCCCACGCUCAAUGCCCUGGUCAAUGCCGAAGAACAAAGAAAAGAUACGAUUUGCGAGGAAGAAAAAGAAAUGAUUGUCGUAUGAUUUUGGAAAGAAUCUUUUGGAUAUUUGGCUGAUGUAAAAAAGUGAUUUAUUAACUUUUUAGAAUCGAUUUUGUACUUAAUCACCCCCUAUGUCUAGAUUCAUAGAAUGUUUUAAGUAUAAAUAGGAGAACCUCUCAAUUCCAUGGCUAUUGAUGAUUUUAUCUUCAUA